rnacentral:lncRNA from 1 species
AGCCUUCCAUUCAUCAUAACUCAGAUCAUUCCCGAGCAAUGCAACCUUUCGUCCUUUAACAUAGCUUUUUUCUUUCGACCCGCAAUAUGCAUUUCCAGAAUUUAGACCACACACGAUAGUAAAUACCAUCCAGUUUAGUAUGAAUAGGUGAAGUAUUUUCGUGAAUAGUCAGAGAAAAACACACUUGUCGGAAACGAUCUUAUCAUCGUUAUGAGGCCUAUUGACAGCAAUAUAACGAAGAACCGAAUAGUAUCAACUGAGGAAGAUCCUCAAUCUGUUAGACCUCUGGGGCUUACCAACCAAGAUCAUGGGUCGUGCAACUCUACUCACUGAAGUGUAUCUGACAAUAGUAAGAAUGAUAGAAUGGUCACAAUAAACCCAAUAAGUGAAUAAGGCACCAGAAAUGGCUAACUUGCUCCAAUCUGAAAGUUCCAAGGACGAUUAUGCAAGACUCUAAAACUUUAGGGACAAAUUUGCAAACGAAUUGAUAGUUAAGGAUGGAUAUGCAAGAUUCUCAAACCUCGAGCACUAACUUGCACAAAUAGAAAAACAUGAGAGAGCCCAAUUAGCCCUAAAUAAAAAACCCAAAAAAGGUCCAAGUCCAAAUCAAUAUCGGAUAUCCGAAUAAGACACACUGGAGGAGAAUCAUCGAAUCUUUGACUAGCCGAAAGAGUAGCCCGGAGGUUUGGGUCGAGGAGAAUCCGACAGCCUUGGGUUUGCAAUGAAAAUAUAGAUCGAAGCCUCGCACAUCUCAAACAAACACAAGACCCAUGCUCAUUCUAGGAGCCUCAUGAACAAGGAAGAGAGGUCGCCUAGGCCUCAUUUGCACAAAAGAAGAGGCGUAAGAUCCCAGGUUACUGGAAUAGAGAGUUGCGCAACUUGGCAUUGACGAGCAGAAGCUUGGUGAGUGCUUUGCUUUUUCUACUUGGAGGCUCUUGGUUAGCUUUUUGAUAUACGAAUUUUUCAAAGAAUUGAAUUUAGGAUAUGCACUGAAUCAAACCUAAUUUUUAGAGCGAGAUAGACGGUGGAGAUCGUCGGAAUGAUUUAAAGGGUAGAUUGUCACUCGAGCGAUUUACCAUAGAGGUUUGACGGAGCAAGGGUAGAGGGUCGCCUGAGGAUUCAACCAGGAAAACGAAUUUUAUUGUGAGUUCAACUCGAGAAGGACUAAAACCACUUGGAUACCAACUUAUAAUUUGGGCUUAAUGUCCCUCGAGUGCUACAGCGGACUAGAGUGAGG